AGUGAACGCUGGCGGUAGGCCUAACACAUGCAAGUCGAACGGCACCACAGAGGAGCUUGCUCCUUGGGUGGCGAGUGGCGGACGGGUGAGGAAUACAUCGGAAUCUACUCUGUCGUGGGGGAUAACGUAGGGAAACUUACGCUAAUACCGCAUACGACCUACGGGUGAAAGCAGGGGAUCUUCGGACCUUGCGCGAUUGAAUGAGCCGAUGUCGGAUUAGCUAGUUGGCGGGGUAAAGGCCCACCAAGGCGACGAUCCGUAGCUGGUCUGAGAGGAUGAUCAGCCACACUGGAACUGAGACACGGUCCAGACUCCUACGGGAGGCAGCAGUGGGGAAUAUUGGACAAUGGGCGCAAGCCUGAUCAGCCAUACCGCGUGGGUGAAGAAGGCCUUCGGGUUGUAAAGCCCUUUUGUUGGGAAAGAAAUCCAUCUGGUUAAUACCCGGGUGGGAUGACGGUACCCAAAGAAUAAGCACCGGCUAACUUCGUGCCAGCAGCCGCAGUAA
rnacentral:rRNA from 1 species